GUUUGAUUCUGGCUCAGAUUGAACGCUGGCGGGAUGCUUUACACAUGCAAGUCGAACGGCAGCACGGACUUCGGUCUGGUGGCGAGUGGCGAACGGGUGAGUAAUGUAUCGGAACGUGCCUAGUAGCGGGGAUAACUACGCGAAAGCGUAGCUAAUACCACAUACGCCCUUCGGGGGAAAGCGGGGGACCUUCGGGCCUCGCACUAUUAGGAAGCGGCCGAUAUCGGAUUAGCUAGUUGGUGGAAUAACGGCUCACCAAGGCGACGAUCCGUAGCUGGUUUGAGAAGACGACCAGCCACGCUGGGACUGAGACACGGCCCAGACUCCUACGGGAGGCAGCAGUGGGGAAUUUUGGACAGUGGGGAAACCCUGAUCCAGCCAUCCCGCGUGUGCGAUGAAGGCCUUCAGUUUAUGACACUUUUGGCAGGAAAACAGCACGGGAUAAUGCGUGCAGCUGACGGUACCUGCAGAAUAAGCACCGGCUAACUACGUGCCAGCAGCCGCGGUAAUACGUAAGUUAGCGUUAAUCGGAAUUACUGGGCGUAAAGCGUGCGCAGGCGGUUCGGAAAGAAAGAUGUGAAAUCCCAGAGCUUAACUUUGGAACUGCAUUUUUAACUACCUGAGAGCUAGAGUGUGUCAGAGGGAGGUGGAAUUCCGCGUGUAGCAGUGAAAUGCGUAGAUAUGCGGAGGAACACCGAUGGCGAAGGCAGCCUCCUGGGAUAACACUGACGCUCAUGCACGAAAGCGUGGGAGCAAGCAGGAUUAGAUACCCUGGUAGUCCACGCCCUAAACGAUGUCAACUGUCUGUUGGGGCCUUCGGGCCUUGGUAGCGCAGCUAACGCGCGUGAGAUUGACCGCCUGGGAAGUACGGUCGCAAGAUUAAAACUCAAAGGAAUUGACGGGGACCCGCACAAGCGGUGGAUGAUGUGGAUUAAUUCGAUGCAACGCGAAAAACCUUACCUACCCUUGACAUGUCUGGAAUCCCGAAGAGAUUUGGAGUGCUCGCAAAGAGAACGGAACACAGGUGCUGCAUGGCUGUCGUCAGCUCGUGUCGUGAGAUGUUGGGUUAAGUCCCGCAACGAGCGCAACCCUUGUCAUUAGUUGCCACGAAAGGGGGCACUCUAAUGAGACUGCCGGUGACAAACCGGAGGAAGGUGGGGAUGACGUCAGUCCUCAUGGCCCAUACGGUGGGGCUUCACACGUCAUACAAUGGUCGGGACAGAGGGUCGCCAACCCGCGAGGGGAGCCAAUCCCAGAAACCCGAUCGUAGUCCGGAUCGCAGUCUGCAACUCGACUGCGUGAAGUCAGAAUCGCUAUUAAUCGCGGAUCAGCAUGUCGCGGUGAAUACGUUCCCGGGUCU
rnacentral:rRNA from 1 species